rnacentral:tRNA from 1 species
UCCCUGGUGGCUUAGACGGUAAAGCAUCUGCCUACAAUGUGGGAGACCUGGGUUCAAUCCCUGGUUCGGGAA